rnacentral:rRNA from 1 species
AGAGUUUGAUCCUGGCUCAGGAUGAACGCUGGCGGCGUGCCUAACACAUGCAAGUCGAACGGUUAAACCGCCCUCGGGCGGACAUACAGUGGCGAACGGGUGAGUAACACGUGACCAACCUGCCCCGCGCUCCGGGACAACCGCUGGAAACGGCGGCUAAUACCGGAUACUCCGCGGCCCCCGCAUGGGGGCGGCGGGAAAGCCCCGACGGCGCGGGAUGGGGUCGCGGCCCAUUAGGUAGUAGGCGGGGUAGAGGCCCACCUAGCCGACGAUGGGUAGCCGGACUGAGAGGUCGAUCGGCCACAUUGGGACUGAGAUACGGCCCAGACUCCUACGGGAGGCAGCAGUGGGGAAUUUUGCGCAAUGGGGGAAACCCUGACGCAGCAACGCCGCGUGCGGGACGAAGGCCCUCGGGUCGUAAACCGCUUUCAGCAGGGUAGACUUUACGACGGUACCUGCAGAAGAAGCUCCGGCUAACUACGUGCCAGCAGCCGCGGUAAUACGUAGGGGGCGAGCGUUAUCCGGAUUCAUUGGGCGUAAAGCGCGCGUAGGCGGCCGCCUAAGCGGAACCUCUAACCCCGGGGCUCAACCUCGGGCCGGGUUCCGGACUGGGCGGCUCGAGUGCGGUAGAGGAGAGCGGAAUUCCCGGUGUAGCGGUGGAAUGCGCAGAUAUCGGGAAGAACACCGAUGGCGAAGGCAGCUCUCUGGGCCGUCACUGACGCUGAGGCGCGAAAGCUGGGGGAGUGAACAGGAUUAGAUACCCUGGUAGUCCCAGCCGUAAACGAUGGAUACUAGGUGUGGGGGGAUCCCCCCUCCGUGCCGCAGCCAACGCAUUAAGUAUCCCGCCUGGGGAGUACGGCCGCAAGGCUAAAACUCAAAGGAAUUGACGGGGGCCCGCACAAGCAGCGGAGCAUGUGGCUUAAUUCGAAGCAACGCGAAGAACCUUACCAGGGCUUGACAUGCGCCUGAAGCCGCGGAGACGCGGUGGCCGAGAGGAGGGCGCGCAGGUGGUGCAUGGCUGUCGUCAGCUCGUGUCGUGAGAUGUUGGGUUAAGUCCCGCAACGAGCGCAACCCCCGUCCCGUGUUGCCAGCAUUAGGUUGGGGACUCGCGGGAGACUGCCGGCGUCAAGCCGGAGGAAGGUGGGGACGACGUCAAGUCAUCAUGCCCCUUAUGCCCUGGGCUGCACACGUGCUACAAUGGCCGGUACAGAGGGUUGCCACCCCGCGAGGGGGAGCGGAUCCCGGAAAGCCGGCCCCAGUUCGGAUCGCAGGCUGCAACCCGCCUGCGUGAAGCCGGAGUUGCUAGUAAUCGCGGAUCAGCACGCCGCGGUGAAUACGUUCCCGGGCCUUGUACACACCGCCCGUCA